GCUCCAUUCGUCUAUCGGUGAGGACGUUGCCCUUUCACGGCGAAAAGGCGGGUUCGAUUCCCGCAUGGUGCA
rnacentral:tRNA from 1 species